AUGGAUUGGUCCUGGAGGAUCUUCUUCUUGGUGGCAUCUCUGAAAAGUGCCCAAGGCGAGGUGCAGCUGGUGCAGUCUGGGGCUGAGCUGAAGAAGCCUGGAGCCUCAGUGAAGGUCUCCUGCAAGGCUUCUGGAUACACCUUCACCAGCUACUUUAUGUACUGGGUGCGACAGAGCCCUGGACAAGGCCUAGAGUCGAUUGGAUGGGUGAACACUGCUACAGGUGGUACCGCGUAUGCUCAGAAGUUCCAGGGCAGAGCCACUAUCACCGCUGACACGUCCUCCAGCACGGCCUACAUGGAACUGAGCAGUUUGAAGUCUGAGGACUUGGCUGUGUAUUACUGUGUGAGAGACACAGUGUGGUGA